rnacentral:rRNA from 1 species
GUGGGGAAUUUUGGACAAUGGGGGCAACCCUGAUCCAGCAAUGCCGCGUGCAGGAAGAAGGCCUUCGGGUUGUAAACUGCUUUUGUACGGAACGAAACGGUCCUGGUUAAUACCUGGGGCUAAUGACGGUACCGUAAGAAUAAGCACCGGCUAACUACGUGCCAGCAGCCGCGGUAAUACGUAGGGUGCAAGCGUUAAUCGGAAUUACUGGGCGUAAAGCGUGCGCAGGCGGUUUUGUAAGACAGGCGUGAAAUCCCCGGGCUCAACCUGGGAAUGGGGCUUGUGACUGCAAGGCUGGAGUGCGGCAGAGGGGGAUGGAAUUCCGCGUGUAGCAGUGAAAUGCGUAGAUAUGCGGAGGAACACCGAUGGCGAAGGCAAUCCCCUGGGCCUGCACUGACGCUCAUGCACGAAAGCGUGGGGAGCAAACAGGAUUAGAUACCCCGGUAGUCC